GAAUUAUAACUAUGUAAUUCCAUGUAGCUUCACCUGUUUCAACCCUAGUCCAUAUUGCUGCACUGAGAGAACCAAGUCGGGCAAAAAUCGGGGCUCACACUCUGGCUGCCAUUUAAGAAGGCGCCGGAUUGCAGACAUCUAGGAUGUUGCUAUUUAAAAUGCUCACUUUGGUAUAUUCAGGGCUUUGGAGGACUGUGCAUGUCCAACCUUCAGAGAAAAAAAUAGACUUAAUCGCGGUCUAAGAGAGAAGCAACAGACCUGCCUUAUUCCAAAGCUCUCAAACACAGAUGCUCAUUUUACACAUUCCUGUGAAACCCUGGAACCCCACUCUCUUUGCUUCUCUUUCGAUUGUCCAGGUUCCCACCCAUAUCUUGCUCUGGUUGGUCACAACCAGAAUCUUCGCAACCACAAUCAGAAUCUUCCCAUGGCUCUACCUACAUCUCCUGCUUGUCUCUGCCAUUACAACAUAAGGAACAGCAUUUCGCCAUGUCACACAGGCUGGUCUUCAACUCCUGCACUCAAGCUAUCCACAGGCCUCGACCUCCCAAAGUGCUGGGAUUACAGGCAUGAGCCACUGUGUCCAGACUGAAGUUUUUAGUCUCAUCAAACAAACUCACCCAAAUGUCCCUGGUGACAAAAAGUUUUCUGAACGGUUAAGUAAUUUGUUUCUCAAGCCUGACAAAAUAAAAAGUUUUCUGUCUCUCUGUCUCUCUCUUUUGUACUGUUUCUCUUAAGUCUUGUUAGAAUAUAGAAAUAUAGACAUUUAGAACCAAGGUCAUUGUCUUGACUGGCCCACUGACCAGAUUAGUAAUUCUUUAAGUAGAGUCCCUAGACCAGCACCACAGGCAUCAGCGGGCUUCUUAGAAAUGCACAUCCUUAGACAACACCCCAAAACUACUGAAUCGAAUAUUUUGAGGGUGGGCCCAAUAAUCUGUGUUUUGAGAAGAACCCCAGGUAAAUCUGAUGCACAGUAAUUUUUGAGAAGCACUGAAUAAACUGUAUACCAUUAGCCUAUUUUUAAAAAUCAUCUGAG
rnacentral:lncRNA from 1 species